GAGAGGGAGACGGUGCGGCAGAGCUGCGUCAGCGCUGCGGAGGAGGGAGCAGCUGGCAUCUCCCGGCCGGGCCGCAGCGGAGGACCAGGGGGUGCCAGCAGCCGAAGGUGAGGGCAGGCCCCGGCUCCCGCCCCCCGGACGCGGAUCUCUCUCUGCGGUGCCACGGCUUCUCGGAGCCACCCAGCGCAGGCAGCUCGGAUGAUCCAUCCCACUAAGCAGCCCGAGGGCAAAGAAGCGGAAUCGUGGACCUUACUGCAGCCCAGCCCAGCCCCGAGCCCGAGGAAGCAGCAGAGGAAGAUGCUGAUGUCGCUGCCCACGCUGACGGUCCUAGUGCCCCUCAUCUCUCUGGCCGGCCUGAUCUACUCGGCCUCGGUGGAUGAGAACUUUCCCCACGGCUGCACCAGCACCACCAGCCUGUGCUUUUACAGCCUGCUCCUGCCCAUCAUCCUGCCGGUCUGCGUGAUCCUCUACCUCUGGACCUGGACACAGAAUUAAAGCCACCCAAUUCCCCCCCCCCCCCUACUCCCCGCUCCCCACCCCCGAGAGCAUUUACAGCGUAGGGCCUGUUGUCUCCAUUUAAACAAGAAAAUGCUCUCAUUUCAUUCCGCUUAACUCUUCAUAGACUGGAAUGAUCUCGUUCUCCUAGGGGAAAGGUCUCCAUCCCUCUCUGAGAGUCGGGGGUAAGGGGCGUUCAGACGGGCUCAUUUUCAUCCCGCCUUCCUGUUCCAGAGCUGGAGGUGGGGGCGGUAGGAGAUGGGGGUGGGGAGUCCCUACUUAUUCUUUUCUUUAAAAUAUCCUCCUGUAUCUCGAUCUGUGGAAGCGCUUGAUUAUAUUAAGUUCUGAUUAUAUCGAACUCGAAAUUGAAAUGCAUUGGCCAAAAGGUUCUUGGAUUGUUUUCCUCACUGGCUUAAAGGCCUUUGUAAUGGAAGGAAACGAUAAAGAUAAAUCUUUUCAAAGAUGCUUUACCAAAUAAUUCACUCGUUUAGAUAGUUUCAGUUAAAUUCAUUGGAACUAGAAUUCAUUCAAAAACUUACAAUACAGUGAAAAUUGAUGUGCAUAGAAAAAUACAAAAACCGAGGAGCAGAGAGGAAUCAGAGAUGAUCUACUCUGGCACAACACAAACCUGAAAUUCAAUGAAAACCAAACACUCCUAGAAAUAGAAAUAUCCUCAAGUCACCUUGAUUUUGAUUUCCAAAGAGCAGGAAUAUCAAACUUGGGAUCUUUCACCAGACCCUGAAAGGUUUACCCAAAAUUAGAGUCUCCAGUAUGGGCCUUAAGAAAAGUCUAGGUUUUAGGAAAGCAUUGCAGAAAAUUGACAGAAAUUUUAGCUUCAUUGAGGUAAGAAAGUAGGAAGACUUACAGGGAGGUCAAGCUAUGGACUUCCCCCAGAGAAAUGCUGAUUUCUUCCCCAGGAUAUAGCGCUUAGGUUUCUCAUCAUUUCUAAGUUUGAUGUUGAAGAGUAUGAGUUUCUUGUUGAUGUCCAAAAUUGGUUGGAAUUAUGUUUUGAACUUUAAACUUGAGCUACUUAAAAUACAGAUUUAUAUUGGGUUUAAUGAGUUAAUUAGGGGAAAUGUUAUUUCCAGCACAGUAGAUCUGGGCUCUGAAGAACAGCUAUUGGGCACCAUAGCUUUGAAGUUGUUUCUGAGAGUGAAAGUGAGAGAAGCUCUGCUCUGAAUGCCACUGGUACAAGUGUCAGAGCAUUGGAAUAAUCAUUUGGAGAUGCAUUCAACUGGAUUGUUUUGUGGCUUAUUGUUUGAUGUCAGUGUUAUGUUGAUGUGUUUCUUGCAUAAUGAUUUGGGAAAAUCAUUGCAGAGAAGCAGUGUUGGCUUGUGGAAUAAUACCCGGAGUGUGAUGCAUUUGUACACUUAGGAAUUUUGCUCCUCUUUUGAUCAUAAUACUGUGAUUUUAUGAAUUUAAGCUAUUACUUAUUAGUAACUUUUGUCUGGAAGGUAGCAUGCUCUUCUGGCUUAAAAUAGUCUUAAAUGUAUCCUCUGGGAGAGGUUGCUUAUUACCUUGGGAAGACUCAUUGUUGGAUAUUCUAUCGAUUGGCCAACCCCUCUGAACCUUCUGUCUUGGUAAGGUCCAAAAGUUCUUUAACCCUGUGACCACAGAGAAGGCAGGAAGGGUUUUAGAAAUUCUUCCCUAAGAUUAAGGCUUAGGGAGGAACCAACUCUUCUCCCCCCCCCCACCUACAACACACACACCCAGGUGCCCACCUGCACACAAAUGUACUCCCACACACUCACAUUCUCACAGGCUAAUGGGGAGAUAUUGACUUGCAAUAUGGUGACCUGUCUAAAUACUGAUUGUUAUGGAAACUAUGGAAACUCCCUGGAUAAAAUUAUUCAAUUGGUAUUUAUCAGUGCUGUAUCUUUGAGUCCACUUUGGAUCAACAAAUCCCAGUUUCAAAGAUUUUCCUGUUGGCAUAGGGGUUGAUAAUCGGUGCAUUAAGCUAUACAAGCUAACUGUAAUCAGGAUCUUUAGAGGUUUGUGUAUAUUCAUGUUAUGAGUAAAAUCCCCAAAUGUGAUUAUUUUCUAAAUUUCUAACGAUCUUUUUUCUUGCACCAGAAUGUAUUAAAUUAGAAUCUACUAAAAGUUUUUGGAUAAACUUGUAUAUGCUUAAUAAGCACUAAGGAUAAAUGUUUUUAAUUGUUAUUUGUUAUCAACUUAAUGAUAUUGCCAUUAGCUUGAGAAACAAGGUACCCUGCCCUGAGCUAGAAGCAAUGAAAUUUACUAUGUAAGAGAUGAAAUCUCUGAAGAUGGUCAUUUGAUUUGCUCCAAGUACUGAAUCUGGGUGUGUGUUUACAUGUUUGUCAAGCUAGCAAUCCAUCGUUCAAAGGAAAUGCCAAGAGCUGCUCAAAAGGAGUAUGAUCUCUAUGUGUAAUAGUGGAUGCUAAUUGCUGGGAAAGUUGAGAAGACAGUCUUAUAAAAAUAAUGGUAGGACCUUCUUGACUCGGUUUCUCCAUUAUGCUAUUUCUUUUUUGACCAGGAAAGUUUCCCAUGAAAUAUGGACCCAACUCUCAGACCCUUUGAAAAAUUUUGGCUCACAAUUGGCUGUUGCAAAAAGUUUUGACUUAUGCCCGAAAUCAGACAACGCUUGUCCUCUUACACCCUUUAUCAACCUAUUGAUCUGUGGCUUUAGACUCGACCCUGAUGAUUGCUACCUUAUCCCUCCUUCUGAUUUCAUAGCAAAUGUCUCUGACCAUGACUAAAGAACUACAAAGGUUUUAUAGUGAAUCUCCUUGUUCCAAUCAUCAAACUUCUCUGAGCAGAUGCUUGUCUUUCUGCUGUUGACUAUGGCCAUUACUUGUCUCACCUUCCUGACCUAGAUGACGAGCUCUAUUUUAAUAGUUGUAUACAUAUACAUACAUACAUAUAUAUGUGUGUGUGUAUAUGUACAUAUGUAUAUAUAUAUAAGCUUAUGUUUUAAGAGUCUCUCUUUCUGUCCAAGUGACCCUUCUCUUUCCUAUGACCUGAAGCUAACAUAUGAGUUUACAAUAUAAUCUUCACAUGAGGAGAAAUGAUUAAAGACACAUGAAGGCUAGAAUUCUUAAUGGAGUGAGAAAGGCAACAUGAUUAGGCUACUCCCCCCCGCCCCAGGACUGAGAUACAUGUGAGUGAUUGUUAAUGUUUCCCAAAUGAUAUUAAAUAUACUAAAAGAGCUCGUAUUGUACUAGCUGCAAUUGUACUAGGAGCUUUAGAACGGCACCAUGGCAGUGAAAACAAUUUUGGCAAAAAGCCAAAUAAAGACAAUGGUCCUAUAAUGAUAUAUUUUAUAUUUGACUCUGGAAAAGGUGAAGCCAGGUACUGAAUCUACUCCAGAAAUUCCAUUUGAUUAGCACCAGAUGAGUCUCAUAUAGAUGGCGAAAACCAAGAAUUUCGAAUAUGUUUAGUAACUGUCUAUAAAUUCUCACAUUGGAUUGGAGGUUUUGUAUGCAAAAUUGCUCUAUUUGUUGUUAAGAAACUAUCUGUUGGAGGGGUUUCUAAGGGGGACAUUCUCUCUGGGUCUGGCCCUCAAGAAUCCUUUUUAAAAAAAUUCUUCCUCCACCUUUUAAAAAUUGUUGUUGAUCGCAUCUAAAAGUCUUGGGAAAAGGAGAAAGAGCAAAUUACAACUCAGAUGAGUUGCAGGCAUCUGCAACUCUGAUGUUCUUCCUAUAGUCUUGAUAAUUAUAAAAUUGAUACCAUAAGGUUUGUCCUGGCUUUCACCUCAUGGAUUAAUUACAGGAAGGACAAUGUGAUUUAAGUUUGGUCCGAUUUUACUAAAUUAUAUUAAGUCUUAUCACUAGCAGGUUAGGUGACUUAUUUAGGAAACUAUCAUGAGAGGCAUUGCUUGGAGCCAGGAAAGUGAAUCUGCUCAAAGAAAUGCUUCUUAAAAGUUCAAAUCAAAUGCCCCAGAAACAAGGUGGAAAGAUCCUUUCCAGAAAAUGUUAACUAUCCACAUGGCAAUUGAAAAAUUCAAGCUGUUAAUUCAUGGACAUAUAUAUCUCAAGACCAGGCUUAACACUUUGUGGAUCGAACCUUUUGCCUUAGAAUUAGCAAGGGAAAAGUGCUUCCCAGAAGCAGACUAUUUCACGAGUUAGAUAGCAAAACCCAAGACUACAGAGCAAGGAUUGUAUUACCUAAAUGGACAUAUAGGUACAUUCUGUGUUACUUUUUUGUCCAGACUGUCCAGUUAUUUGCUGUUCUUUAUCUCUUAGAAAUUUCUUAUCCUUCUAUAAAGGUAUGCAGGCACCAGAUUUAAGAAACUGGAAGUUGAAACUCAGGUCCUCUUUGUUCCAGUCCUUCACAAAAUUACCGGUAAUAAUGUCUUAGUCUAAAUAUGGAAAUAUCUUGGGUUACAUAGAAAUAUAAACUACUCUUAAGAUUCAGUUUCCCCUAUAAUUGCAGGUACUUUUCACUAAAUCUUUACUACUGCUCAAAAUUAUUGCUUCAGAAACUUUGGGAGGAAAGACUGAGUUUUGAAAAUUAUUCCGACCUUCCAUUCUUGCUUAAAGGUUUUACUUAAGCUGCUUUCUUAUUCUUUUCAGUUUUAUGGUAGUAUAAUUAAUUGAUUCAUGUUUCCCCCUUGGGGGAGAAUGUUUUGGAUUUUAUAUUUGUUCCUCAUAUAUUUUGGCUUCCUCACUCCCAUAACCCAAUUUGGACUAAGAUCCCUCCUUUGCACAAACAACUGUCUUGCUGUAGCGGAAUCACAGUUAUUAAGUGGUUCAGAUCUGAUGAAACUCCUGAGGAAGGAUGCAAGGGGAGAACUGUAGAGAAAGAGAAUAAACCUGAAGACACUUGGAACUGGGGGAAACGUCUUCUAACAAAAUUAACUAAGUCCCGAGACCAAGGAAACAGAACUGAGGAGUCUCACUCUCUUUUGCUCCCUACUGACUACAUCUGAGUAAACAAGAAUGAUCCCAUUUUAAAAUGGAACCAUCUUAAAAAUUCCUUGCUUAUCCAGGGUAUUCUGAGGAGACUAAACAUUGAGAAUGUGUUUUUCCCAUAAGAACAAACUUGACCUUUAACAACUCCAGUGAUCCCAGGGCUUGCAUAUGUUCCCAUUUCUCUUCUGUUUCAGAAUGGCUCAGACCCUGAACAAGCCUCUCUACCUUAAGAAGGAGAAGGUACAACUAGCCCAAUCAGCUCAAUCUUUUUGACAGCAAAUCUUACAGUUGUGAUAGUGGAUCAGAUUCUCUUUGGACUCACCAGGAAUCUCCAGGAUGGGGUGGAGAGGAGAUUCCUGCUCAGGUCUCAGUUUGGCGACCUGCUUAUGAGGUUUGCUCUGGCUAAUAGGUUCCGUAAAAUAGGGUCCGUAAAAAGGAAGAAUAGAUCUUUGUCGUGAGAAAUUGAAUCAUUUGUGCUGGUUUUCAUAGAAUAUCACUUUUUCCCAAAAAAUGGAAAAUGGUUUGUUCCAUCAUUGCACUGAAAAGGAUCCCUGAGGAUAGGAUCUGACCCAGUGAAUUUAUUGUCAUAGGGAGGUCCCAGCUGAGGAAACUCUCUCUCCCCAGGAAGAGCAGUGAGGUAAUUUCCCAUUAUGUUAGAGCCAGCUUUACAUUCUGAGUGGAGACUGUGGUACCACUCCUAUAGAUCUCUACUGAAUUUUCUCUGGUUCACUUUGGGCCAGUGACCCCACGAGGGAGACACAAGGACGUGCCUAAAUAGAAAGCAAGUAAUAGACAAAGUCAUUAAAUCUAGACCUUGAUGGAAGCCCAUGAGCAAAAUGUCAAAUAGCUAAAACUUGGAUCCCUGUGGCACUCCACCCCCAACUGACCAUGAAAGGUCUAGCUUCUGACCCGAGCUCUCCAGCCAGUUCCUACCCCAUAUAAUUGUAUCAUCUUCUAGCUCACAAGUCUCCGUCUUGUCCCUGUGUAUCAUAUGCCAAAGAUGGCUGUCCUCACCCUCUGAAUCAGUGGCCAAAGCUGGGAGAGAGAUGGAGGGAAGUUUGCUUAACACAGUAUUUUAGGAAGAGAAGAACAAGAACGGGGAAAAGAUCAGCGUGGAAGCCCUAGAACAGGACUUCUUAAAUUUUUCCAUUUGUAACCCCUUUUCACCUGAGAAAUUUUUACAUGACCGUAGGUAUAUAAGUAUAUAAAAUAAAUAUACAAAUCAAACAUUUACUGAUAAUAAAUCAUAAUUUCUCCACUACCGCAGUCAGUUAUGAGAUCCCCACACGCAGUCAAAACCCACAGUUUUAGAAGCUGGAACCUAGAAUGUGAGUAUGUGGGCAAAAGUAGGAAUAAGAGCCAGGCCCUGUGGGGUCCGGAGGGGUCCAAGAGAAGGGGUCAGAGGUUUCUAAAGCUUGGGAGAAGGAGCCUCAGUUCCCCAGGAACAAGAAUCAAGAGAUCUGGUCUGUCCUUCAAAAGAUAUAUAUAUUUUUUAAAUCAAAAGAUAAUUUUAAACAGGCUAAGACAGAUACCAGAGAAAGGGAAAGUGCUGGCUGGGGAAGGGUCACCAGAGUCUGGGGUCCUGGCCUCUAGCACCUGACAGGGCGGGGGCUCAGGGUCCGCAUCCUCCAGGUCAAAUUGGACUAUUGUGUCCAAGAAGAUGGCAGCUCCAGGAGCUUUUCCUGACACAUCUACAGUGGACUGCAUUUCCUCGCCUUCUACCCCAAGAACUGGGCUGGGACAGAGUCUGAGAGAGGUCUAGGGGAGGAAGAGGAUGGCAACGGAUGAUGGUCUGUGCUCCAGAGACCCCAGGCUUGGGAGACACAGCUCUCUCAUCCAUGAGCGUGACUCCCAUGGACUCCCCCAGUACCAAUGCCCCGAGGCGCUGGGCUUCCACUCCCAGAACUCCAGGAGGAGGGGGUGUAGGAAGAGCCAGGUCUCCCAGGAGGGAUGGGGCCGCUGUGCCCAGGUUGGAUAAGGCCCCCCCAGGUCUGGAGGGGGGCAGAGAUAUACCUACCCCAAAAGACCGGGGGCCAAGCCGAAAUGUUGCUGCGCUCUCUGCUGAGGGCGAUGGAGAGUGCAGGGAGAGGGGCGCAAGAGCUCUGUUGUGACCAAGGGCAUGGUGAUGUUCGGAGAUCCCCCAGCUCCAUCCAUAGUCUCCUCCUCCUCCAGAGGCUUGAGGAGAGCUCAGGGGAAGCCUGACCAAUACUGCUGCUGCCGCCGGUGACCUUGGACAUUGCUGCUGUACCUGAAGAGGAAUAAGACGGGACUCGAUUGGGUGGCAGGGCCUGGGUCAGGGACACACUGGGCCAGGGGAAAGGGAAGAAAACAGGGGCCCCUUUGUGUCUCUGCUCCCUCUCCACAAGCAUGUGGAGUUGCCAUUCUGGGGAGUGGGCUGCCCUCCAAACUACUGGGGACCAGGACCGUGGAGGUAAUGGACAUCAUUCCCAUCAAUGACCCCUCAGGGUCAUGGGGGGGGGGGGAAGGAGAGGGGGACAAGGGCAAGUAGCUGUCACUCCCAAGCUUCUACCUGGAUGAAUACACCUCAGGGCAUCAUGUAGCCCUGAGACUUCCAGCAAGGGCUAAGAGGUGGGAGGGCUCUUCUCUGCUUCUUGUGGGGACCCUGAGGACUCCCUCCCUACCUGAGGCACUGUGGUCUGGGUCUCUGGCUGCCUCAUCCACAGUUGUGUUUGUUCUUUCCUGAUAAUAAGCAUCUUCCCAAGAUGGACAUGUCCAGACUUAGAUGUGAGCUGGGAACUGGGGAGUUCUGGGAAUUCCCCUGGUCAGAGCUGAAUGACGGCAAUCCCCAACCAUUUACUUGGUAGCCUUAGAGCUCAGACAGCCUAGAGCCCAUGUGAGUAUCUCCUGUUCCACCUCCCCAAGCCCAGCAAAGGGCAAGAACCAUGACAAGUAAGUCUCUCGCUCCUGUUUUAGGCUGGUUUUUGUCAAAUGUACCCUUGUGAGUAGUGGCUUAGCAUCUUUGAUGUGUAGGAAAUAAAUAGUUGUCCUAUA